UAAUCGUUUGACAGCACUAAAUAUUUUAUAACUAAUUAAAUUGUCUGAAAGUCUCUAGACUUUAUAAAUUGUCAAUACUUUGCUUUAAAAAAAACACAAAAAGCAAAAAUAUCUUAGGUGUGUUCAUAUGUCAGUCAUUAUUCUAUGUUAUAGGAAAGGUACUUUUCUAUCAAUAUGCGUGUAUGGGUAAAUGACAAUAUGUCUGGUAACUUGUCUGAUGUGGUUGAGAUGAAAUAAAACGGUUUAUCUUUCCACUCUUUUAUGUAUCACUUUUGCUAUAACGUCUUCAAAUAGAUGUCAAAGCUGUUAUUGUUGGAAUAUUUAUAAUCAACAUGAACAGUGGUGCAGAGAACACACAUCUAAAUAGUCUAAAGAGUAGACGUAGUUGUUUACGUGAAGCGCACUAUUACUUUCACUUUCACUUGCGUUGUUCAGGUGAUUUAUGAGAAAUCGUCUGAUUUCAGAUUGUUCGUCUAACCGGAUAGACGAGCCAGUAGUAAACGAGAUGAUGACUUGAGUGUUUUAAUAUUUUCGGACAUAUUAGAGUUUAUUUUAACUGCUAUAGUGAAAGUAUCUAUUUUUUCCCCAUCGUAUCCUUCUGCAGCCGGGCGUUUCGACCGCUGAGGUUUUGUCUGCAGGAUGUUUACUCACAAAUAGACUUCUGUUUUACUGUUCACUCAUUUUCUGCUGAACAGAAAUGCUCUUUACCAUUUAAACGCAGUUCGGCGCUGCUUUUAACGGAAGAAAACAAAUAUUUGUUUGCGCUAGGAUGAUUUCCCUUAUAAGUUCUGCGAUGGAGUUCACAGACGAGGAGAAAAUAUGGCUGCAAAGAGUGUCUGCUGAAAUACCUGAAGGAAAUGAACUCACUCCAAAUGAGAAGCAAUUACAGGAGAAAGCAAAGCCAGAGACUGAAUUUCAGGCCCAGUUCUUCCAAUCUAUGGCCUCCAUACGAUUUGGACAGAAUGAUCCAAUAACCUCAACAAUAGAGGUGAAAAUCUUUGUCGAUCAGAGAAGUAGCGUCUCAUCACAAUGUGGAUAAUCACCAAAUGCCAAGAUGAUGACAAGUUUACCUUUUCUUUUUGGUAAUAUACCUGUAUAUUAAGAAUAAACUAACCUAAAACAAAAUCAGCUGUAACAUAACUGUGAUGUCAAGUUACUUUGGCACUUUUUAAUUAGUCACAAUAAUACAAAUUCAUAUUUUUCAUGAUCUCACCUGGGUAUUCUUAUCUUAUUAAUGAUUUAUUGGUAGAUGUCAGGUUUAGAUCAUAGCUACACCAGGGAAUGUGACAGCAUUACGUUUUAUUGACCUCAGCUCAUCAUGACAUGUUUCCUCAGUUAAGCACAAAUGGAUGCGUCAUUAUGCUAUGCAAAGUUGAGAAACUUUGAGAAAAUAAUGCUAUUGCUGUUUGCAUGCUCUUUUAUUGUUGUAUGAUCUGUGAAAUCACAAGAAAACAAGAAA